rnacentral:lncRNA from 1 species
CUGGAAGUCUCUUGCUGUCCAAGGAUGCUGUACUUGUGUGACAAGAAAAUCUGAUUUGCUCCAAGGCAAGGGCAAAGAUAAUUUUUAUUGUUGAUCCUGCACAGCCAGGUCUAGUCUUCAGGACAUAUAUCAUCUGGCUUUUGACCUCCUCCCCUCACCGUGGAGUUACCUUGGUUUCACUGAGAAUGCCUGGAUUUCUGGUUGCUCAUCUUAUUAAUAAGUUAUGCCUCCAGGUUUCUCUUGGCCUUCCAUUGACAAUGCUACUUCGAGAGGAGCGCAUCUGUGUCCUUCUCACUUGUAGCUGCUUCAGCACCCCUGUCAGAUCUAUGAAGUGUGCAAUGCUGUCCCAGAGAAUCAGAGCAGCUGAGUGGGGAAUUCAUCCUUGGCACAAAGACCUGACGCUUGCAGGAUAUCUCAUGAGCCUCAGUGCUGCUGCAACCAGAGUAUGGCUGCCUGCUGGUCUGAGCUGUAUUCAUUACAAAGGCCCAGCUGCCUGA